rnacentral:rRNA from 1 species
UACGUAGGUGGCAAGCGUUGUCCGGAAUUAUUGGGCGUAAAGCGCGCGCAGGCGGUUUCUUAAGUCUGAUGUGAAAGCCCCCGGCUCAACCGGGGAGGGUCAUUGGAAACUGGGAAACUUGAGUGCAGAAGUGGAAAGUGGAAUUCCAAGUGUAGCGGUGAAAUGCGUAGAGAUUUGGAGGAACACCAGUGGCGAAGGCGACUUUCUGGUCUGUAACUGACGCUGAGGCGCGAAAGCAUGGGGAGCGAACAGG